GGAUUCUAGUUGGAGGAUCAGCCUACUCUUCUUCAGUUUCCCGGUUCCUCCAAAUUUCUGGGCUCCUACUUGUUUCCACAGAGAUGGAUACUGUGGAGGUCCAGGAAGCAGAGAGAUGGCUAAGGCUCAUCAGGACCGUAUGAUCUCCCAAGUGUCCAGCUACUGAGUACCACAAGGUGAUGGGUGGGAGGGUCCUCCCACGGAAGGAUACCGCAGUCCCUAGGGGUUGCAAGCCCCACAUGUUCCACUGGCUGCUAGAGCUACCUACUCAAUCAGCCCUGGGCAUCACCAUCAGGUACUCGGCCAAAAUGACCUCUCUGCUUCCAGUCCUCAGUUCUGGUCAGCACCAGACAGGCCCAUAAUUACAGAGCCAGGGAAACUGGAACAUUUGUCUCCCCUUAGACAGUGGCAGCAGGAAGGUGGGGGGUUGUUGCAGAGGAACAGUGUCUCUGAGAGAGGACCUUGGACUUUCUGGGAAUCUCUGAGCUGCCCGGUUCUCCCCACUGCUGGCACUGUGCCCACAGCCCAAACAGAAUGGGGGAGAUGGAGGGGCAGGGCUUCUGUGGGAAGCUGCCCUCCACCUCAUUGGCACAGAGUGUCUCAUUGCAGAGAGAAAAAAGGACCAGUUUUCUCUCUGGCACCCAGGUCUGGAAGAGGAGUGACAUCCACGGAAGUUGGUGACUUGGACUGGCUGGCCGUGAGUGGAACAUGUCCAUCCAGCAUGGCCACAGUCCAGUGGGACACACAGCCUAGAGCUGUGGAAUGCCGUGCCACAGACUAGGGAACUCCUAAUGCUGUUUCGAUGUUGUCUGGCUAGUUUUGUGUCAACUUGACACAGCUGGAGUUAUCACAGAGAAAGGAGCUUCAGUUGAGGAAAUGCCUCCAUGAGAUCCAGCUGUAAGGCAUUUUCUCAAUUAGUGAUCAAGGGGGGAGGUCCCCUUGUGGAUGGGACCACCUCUGGGCUGGUAGUCUUCGGUUCUAUAAGAAAACAAGCCAGGGGAAGGAAGCCAGUAAAGAUCAUCUCUCCAUGCUCUCUGCAUCAGCUCCUGCUUUCUGACCUGCUUGAGUUCCAGUCCUGACUUCCUUGGUGAUGAACAGCAGUAUGGAAGUGUAAGUUGAAUAAACCCUUUCCUCCCCAACUUGCUUCUUGGUCAUGAUGUUUGUGCAGGAAUAGAAACCCUGACUAAGACAGAUGUCUUCGUGUACUAUUGCAUAUUUUGGAGGGUGUCACUGUUGUGUUGUUCAGUAAGACCUACCUGUGGCGUGACCUCUGUGUGGCUUGUGUAGCUGCUGGCGUUUAAACAUUGUCAAGGAAUGUUCACACUCUUCCUGUCCUUGAAUCUCCUUUUGAAUUUCAUGCCAUGUUACUUUGUGGUUCCUGCCUGUCACCUGUUUAUGCAGCCCACCCCCAUAUGUCCUUUGAAUGCAGAAAUGGCAUUUCCUGUGGUAUUACACACAGGCCUUUGUAAUCACGCAUUUCUCCUUUUUUAUUUUAGGGUUUGGCAUCUUGGGAAUUUUCUGUAAGUCAUCUUCCUUUUUUUAAUUAAAAGAAUUAGUCAUAUUUA
rnacentral:lncRNA from 1 species